rnacentral:rRNA from 1 species
GGAAUCUUGCACAAUGGGGGAAACCCUGAUGCAGCGACGCCGCGUGAGCGAUGAAGCCCUUCGGGGUGUAAAGCUCUUUCGGCAGGGAAGAUAGUGACGGUACCUGCAGAAGCAGCUGCGGCUAACUACGUGCCAGCAGCCGCGGUAAUACGUAGGCAGCGAGCGUUGUUCGGAGUUACUGGGCGGAACGGGUGCGUAGGCGGCCAAUUAAGUUGGUCGUGAAAUCUCCCGGCUCAACUGGGAGGGUGCGGCGGAUACUGAUGGGCUCGAGUGCGGGAGAGGAGAGUGGAAUUCCUGGUGUAGCGGUGAAAUGCGUAGAUAUCAGGAGGAACACCGGCGGUGUAGACGGCUCUCUGGACCGCAACUGACGCUGAGGCACGAAAGCGUGGGUAGCAAAC